rnacentral:rRNA from 1 species
UUGAACGCUGGCGGCAGGCCUCACACAUGCAAGUCGAGCGGAUGAAGGGAGCUUGCUCCUGGAUUCAGCGGCGGACGGGUGAGUAAUGCCUAGGAAUCUGCCUGGUAGUGGGGGAUAACGUCCGGAAACGGGCGCUAAUACCGCAUACGUCCUGAGGGAGAAAGUGGGGGAUCUUCGGACCACACGCUAUCAGAUGAGCCUAGGUCGGACUAGCUAGUUGGUGGGGUAAAGGCCUACCAAGGCGACGAUCCGUAACUGGUCUGAGAGGAUGAUCAGACACACGGGAACUGAGACACGGGCCAGACUCCGACGGGAGGCAGCAGUAGGAAACAUAAGACGAUGGGCGGAAGGCGAUCCAACCAUGGCGCGUGUGUGAAGAAGUUCUCCGGAUUGUAAAACACUUUAAGUUGGGAGGAAGGUCAGUAAGUUAAUACCUUGCUGUUGUGACGUUACCAACGGAAUAAGCACCGGCUAACUACGUG